UACGUAGGGUGCGAGCGUUGUCCGGAAUUAUUGGGCGUAAAGAGCUUGUAGGCGGUUUGUCGCGUCUGCUGUGAAAAUCCGGGGCUCAACCCCGGACUUGCAGUGGGUACGGGCAGACUAGAGUGUGGUAGGGGAGACUGGAACUCCUGGUGUAGCGGUGAAAUGCGCAGAUAUCAGGAGGAACACCGAUGGCGAAGGCAGGUCUCUGGGCCACUACUGACGCUGAGAAGCGAAAGCAUGGGGAGCGAACAGG
rnacentral:rRNA from 1 species